GGUUUUGAUAAAUCUCCCCCUUAGUCUUUGCUGAGGUCCAGUCAAGUCAUACCUAAGUGUGUAUCCAGAGUCAUAGGAGGCCUCAAGUCCAGUCUGCAGCCACAAGCUACAAACCUGCAAUACCACAGACCGUCCUCCCUUGGUGGAUCACAGGAUCGGUGCAGGCUGCACUCCUUCACAGCCUUCUUCUUCCCCAGGUGUGGGAAUCAAGCGACAUUAGGUGUUGUGCUCUAAGUACAAUACCUUAAGGGAGUAGCAGAAAAGAGUGGCAUAGACAAUGUAGGGCAGUGGUCCUGAUGCAGCCAACAAUUCCUGGUCCCAGCUAGGAAUAAGGCCUAAGGCUCUAUUAACAUCAGCGUCAUGGCUUCUGUCAUAGUGUAAUCUACAAAUCUGCCUCAUGGUUUUUAUAUGGUCAUAAACAGAAAUCCCAAUGCAGUGCCGCUCAUCACACAAUGGAAACCAGUUGCAACCAUGAAACGCCAUUGA